GCCCUUGCACAGAUAGAUCGCAGCCGCAUGACAUUGCUGAGCAAACUCAAGGAGUACAAAGGUGAAGAUUUGGAAGUAAUCAAGGAGGCAUCAUUGUUCGCCAGUGAAUCCAUCGAGCACACUGAAGACCUCCUGCUACCCCCCUACCCAAGUCACCUUCCCGACUUGUAUGCUUUGGACGACCUUUUUCCUUCUGCACGCAUCAGUUCCAAAACCAAAUAUUCUCGAAAUAAGCUGAUCGGUGGUGCUGUCGACAAGACGGAUAACAAUAAGCCUAUCAAGGCUAACUCGCGG
rnacentral:misc_RNA from 1 species